AAAAAAAAAAACGGAAACCUGAAUGUGGUAAGUUAUCAGAGCCGCCACCACAGUUCUCUCUUAUUUGCUGAUGAUGAACGUGCGUAUGUCAAUAGAUUUUCUGUUCUGGUGUUCCCCGAUGUGUAUCAAACAGAUCGUGGAAAUCUUUCCUAUUGUUUGCAGGAGACUAGCAUACAACCUUGCUUGAUCAAAGUUCCUGUUUUUAUCAACAAUCUCAUAUGUUUUGUUACAUCUUGAUGAUGUUUUGUCAUAUCAUUCAAUAAUUUCAUCAUAUAGUCUCAGAUCUAGAUUACCAGAAAAAGAAAAAAAAGGUUAACGCCGGUAAUCCUGACGGAGCUAGUAGCCUUUUUAUGAAGAAACUGUUUGAUGUCCUGGUGUUCUGUUAUAGGUUCAUGGCAAAGAGUUUUACAGUGGGGCUGAUGAACAAUAAGGUCAGCGAUACAGAUGUUCUUAUGCACUCAGAUAUUCCGGUACUGGGGGUGGUCUUGUUGAGAUCGGUCGAUUGUACAUUCGGAAAUUUGUUGAGUGUUUGUGCCUGCACCCAAACGGUCCCUAUGGGGUCUUAUCUGGUCAAAUCAAUAUGUUGAUUCAAAUUUAAGCAAAUCAUCCUCCAUAUACGGGAACGGAGUUAGAUCAAUCAGUAGCUUACAACAGAUUUGAGUUAUGGGCAUGUUACACAUCUACAGUUUGCAAACUUUUUGUUGCUGUUGGCUUUCGUUCAAAGUUUGUGGUACAACCUAAGGAGAAAAAGGAGAUUUAUGAAUCAGCAAAUGUGAUAAUCUGGAAUGGAUUUGCUGGUCGCAUAAAUCCUCAAAGAUACGGGGGAGCUGUGGAAUUUGUAGACUGUUCUGCCAACUCUGAAUGGUGGAACCAUGGAGCUGCUAUACAUGCAGACCAGCAGGAAACUAUGAGAAGCAUGACACCUUUUGGCAGUAAUAUCCUAGAAAAUGAUGUGACGGUUCAAGUGUUGGUCACAGUAAAGAAUAAAACUGCAAGGAAAGUGGUGGUCAAGUCUGAAGAAGGGGAGGUGAGCAAAAUCAAUUGCCACUAAUCUAUGUACUAAGCGCAACAUCAUAGACCAUACAGAAACACCUUGUGAAGGAAGAAGGCAAAAGGAGGGUCUUGAGUGAUACAAAUGACCUCAUCCUAAAACAGAACAAGGAGAGAAAACAGAACUUAUCUACCCAGAAAAAGGACACUCUAAUGCUUGAAAACACUGAACAGUUGGUGGCUCAAAGUUAUCAGAUACAACAGAUGGUUGCAUAGGGUUAUGGUUUGGGACAGAAAGAAGCAGAAAGGUUCAAAGCAAGUUAAAAAAAUGAAAAUAACAACAAAAAGCAUACUCUAGCAACUUUUGAAGACUUGGGGAUGGGUAACCUCAAUACCACAAACAUCACAGACUUUCCAACCACACCUUCAAUCAGCCAUCCCAAACAAUGCAACAUGCUAGCAGCAGAAGGAAACAAAAGCUCUCGCAAGAAAUCUUACAAGCGUAGGUCCAGAACCAGCAUUGUGCAAGGACAUAUUCAAAAUCUCCCUCUUGCAAAGAGGGAAUGUUCAACUGACAAUAAAACCACCCAUCAAGCCAGAAAAAACCUAACUAGAAAAUGCUUGAUAUGCUGAGAGGAAUUCAACAUGCAGGAAAUAUUCAUCAAUGACAAUGAAACUACUCAUCAAUCAAGCCAAAAAAUACCUAACUACAAAAUGCUUGAUAUGCUGACUGGAAUUCAACAGUCCUCUUCAUCCAGUACUGGUUCAAACACAAAGACCUAAAAACCACAGAGAGCCAACACCCUCAACACCUCUACGGAAAACAACAGUUAGCUCAUGGCUGGUGAUACUAACAUUCUACACUAUGAAAAUCUUGAAGGUUCUGAAGAAGGUGUAAUUGGUCUACGGGAAGGGAUUCUUAAUACUACAUCAAGCCAAACACAAUACUACAUCAAGUCAAGGGCAAGAGAAUUUGGAACUAGCUGUUACAAAAAAAAAGGAUUGGCAUGGGUUAGGCCAAAUUCACUACUGCACUUGCUCAACAAUGAAAUUCUGGGUUAAAGGUGAUGGGGAAGUCAUUCAGACGAUUUUAGUAUGUCGACUAUUUGGUAACAAGUCUUCCGAAGAAGAAGAUCUAGCAUUCAAAAUCAAGCCACGAGUCUUCUCGUGGGUUCGAAGCUCAUGCUACCCUCCUUAAAUUGUUCACUGUGUGGUUUUGUUUUUUAUUCAAUAGAACAAAGUGGACGAUAUCUUAGCACGGUGUAAAGUAGAACUAUUUCUCACUUGACAGGCCUACAUAACUAGAACUGCUUACUAAGGAAACUUACAGAUGUACCUAUUUUCCUAGUAACCCAUGUUUUGCUUCUGCGAAAUGGAGCUAUCCAUUGUAUCUUAAACGAGAAAUUUAGACAAAUAAGAAUA